rnacentral:rRNA from 1 species
UACGUAGGCAGCGAGCGUUGUUCGGAGUUACUGGGCGUAAAGGGUGCGUAGGCGGUUGUUUAAGUUUGGUGUGAAAUCUCCCGGCUCAACUGGGAGGGUGCGCCGAAUACUGAAUGACUAGAGUGCGGGAGAGGAGAGUGGAAUUCCUGGUGUAGCGGUGAAAUGCGCAGAUAUCGGGAAGAACACCCGUGGCGAAGGCGGCUCUCUGGGACGGUACUGACGCUGAGACGCGAAAGCGUGGGGAGCGAACAGG